AUCAAUUUCCAAACAAAAUCAAACGCCUUUUCUUUUGAAAAAUGUGUAUGCGAUCCCUCUUUAAUUUAAAACCCUAAUCUCCUCUAUACACAAUCAACCACCGUCAAACCACAUCUCCUAUGCGUCUCUUGAUUCUUCGGCAGCCAUUUCUUACGGCCAUCUUCCUUAUUUCUUCCUAGCUAAUUGCAAAUGACUUGAUUCCAAGAAUCACAAGGUGCAUUACACAACUAUAACAGACGGAUUACGUUAAACAAUCAAGUUAAUGUUGAUUUUGUUCUGAAUUCCGUGAAAAAAGGUGGCAUGCUUGAGCUUUCAGAAGCCAUUAGAGAUAAUCAUGAUAGUACUGGAUACCCUCAUAUGGUGACAUCCUUGAGCUUUCAGAAGCCAUUAGAGAUAAUCAUGAUAGUACUGGAUACCCCCAUAUGGUAUGAUGAAAGUUAAAUAUCAUUCAUUUUCAAAAGAAAAUAGGUGGUAUGUGUCUAUGAGCCUUAAACAAACUAUUUUCGAACAUCAAACUUGAUAUUAAUAUUCUAUGUUUUAACUUUUAAGGAUGAAGUUGGCAGCUAAAAUAAAUAGAAAAGUGAUGGUCGAUCAAGAAAUAUAAAUAUUCAAAUUGAUGAUCUCUUGCAUUACCUUCCUUUUUUGUUUAUUAUUCAUUUAUUUGUUUUUCUUUUCUUUGUAAUGAAGAACGCAAGGUCUGAAGGUGAUUUUUUUUUGCUACCAAUCUUGAAUUAUCAGUAGGUUGUUGGUGAACUUGUUCCCGACUCAAAAAAGAUUUAUUUGCUUGGCAAAUCAUUUGAAUAAGUGGCUCUAGAAGUUGAUAUAUUCCCAUUAAAAUAAUCAAGCUUGACUGAUGAGUACAAAAGGGGUAUAAGUAGGGUAUAAGUACUGAUGGUGAUCUUUGUGAAUCUGCCUAUGAAAUCCUUUUUUCAGAGUUGAUUGGUGGAUCGUUUUUUAAAUAAUGCACCAUAUAAUGAGUCAACUUCAAAUGUUGGUGUUAAGGAGCAAUCAUAAAUUCACAAUGGAAUGGAUAAGAUGGCAACCGAAACCAAACCGAAAAACUAUACAAAAAACCAAGUUGUUAUACAAAAUUGGUGGUUUAGGUUCUUUUUAUAUUUUAAAAGAUAAAAUUUUUAGUUCACUUAUACUCUCUAGAUCAUUUAGUCCAUAAUUCAUUUGUAAGUUUUGUUGGCUAUGUAAUUUCUUUUUGUACCUUGUCCUUUUCCUUAAUAAAAUUUAUAUUAUUGUUCAAACAAAAGAUAUAUUAGCAAUUGAACAUGGAUUUACA